rnacentral:rRNA from 1 species
GACGAACGCUGGCGGCGUGCUUAACACAUGCAAGUCGAACGGAAAGGCCCUGCUUUUGUGGGGUGCUCGAGUGGCGAACGGGUGAGUAACACGUGAGUAACCUGCCCUUGACUUUGGGAUAACUUCAGGAAACUGGGGCUAAUACAGGAUAGGAGCUCCUGCUGCAUGGUGGGGGUUGGAAAGUUUCGGCGGUUGGGGAUGGACUCGCGGCUUAUCAGCUUGUUGGUGGGGUAGUGGCUUACCAAGGCUUUGACGGGUAGCCGGCCUGGGAGGGUGACCGGCCACAUUGGGACUGAGAUACGGCCCAGACUCCUACGGGAGGCAGCGGUCGGGAAUAUUGCACAAUGGGCGGAAGCCUGAUGCGGCAACGCCGCGUGCGGGAUGACGGCCUUCGGGUUGUAAACCGCUUUCGCCUGUGACGAAGCGUGAGUGACGGUAAUGGGUAAAGAAGCACCGGCUAACUACGUG